rnacentral:rRNA from 1 species
UAGUGGCGGACGGGCGAGUAACGCGUGAGCAACCUGCCUUUCAGAGGGGGAUAACGUUCUGAAAAGAACGCUAAUACCGCAUAACGCAGCUUUGUGGCAUCACAGGGCUGCCAAAGGAGCAAUCCGCUGAAAGAUGGGCUCGCGUCCAAUUAGCUAGUUGGCGGGGUAACGGCCCACCAAGGCGACGAUUGGUAGCCGAACUGAGAGGUUGAUCGGCCGCAUUGGGACUGAGACACGGCCCAGACUCCUACGGGAGGCAGCAGUGGGGGAUAUUGCACAAUGGGGGAAACCCUGAUGCAGCAACGCCGCGUGAAGGAAGAAGGUCUUCGGAUUGUAAACUUUUGUCUUGUGGGAAGAUAAUGACGGUACCACAGGAGGAAGCUCCGGCUAACUACGUGCCAGCAGCCGCGGUAAUACGUAGGGAGCGAGCGUUGUCCGGAUUUACUGGGUGUAAAGGGUGCGUAGGCGGCUAGACAAGUCAGGUGUGAAAUACCGCAGCUCAACUGCGGGGCUGCACUUGAAACUGUAGAGCCUGAGUGAUGGAGAGGUAAGCGGAAUUCCUAGUGUAGCGGUAAAAUGC